rnacentral:rRNA from 1 species
UACGUAGGCCUCAAGCGUUAUCCGGAUUUACUGGGCGUAAAGCGUGCGCAGGCGGCCCGUUAAGACAGGUGUGAAAUCCCUGGGCUCAACCUAGGAAUUGCGCUUGUGACUGGCGGGCUCGAGUACGGUAGAGGGGGGUGGAAUUCCUGGUGUAGCAGUGAAAUGCGUAGAGAUCAGGAGGAACACCGAUGGCGAAGGCAGCCCCCUGGGCCUGUACUGACGCUCAUGCACGAAAGCGUGGGGAGCAAACAGG